AGUGAACGCUGGCGGUAGGCCUAACACAUGCAAGUCGAACGGCAGCACAGUAAGAGCUUGCUCUUACGGGUGGCGAGUGGCGGACGGGUGAGGAAUACAUCGGAAUCUACUUUUUCGUGGGGGAUAACGUAGGGAAACUUACGCUAAUACCGCAUACGACCUACGGGUGAAAGCAGGGGAUCUUCGGACCUUGCGCGAUUGAAUGAGCCGAUGUCGGAUUAGCUAGUUGGCGGGGUAAAGGCCCACCAAGGCGACGAUCCGUAGCUGGUCUGAGAGGAUGAUCAGCCACACUGAAACUGAGACACGUCCCAGACUCCUACGGGAGGCAGCAGUGGGGAAUAUUGGACAAUGGGCGCAAGCCUGAUCCAGCCAUACCGCGUGGGUGAAGAAGGCCUUCGGUUUGUAAAGCCCUUUGUUGGGAAAGAAAAACAGCAGGUUAAUACCCCGCUGUUCUGACGGUACCCAAAGAAUAAGCACCGGCUAACUUCGUG
rnacentral:rRNA from 1 species